UGCACCAAUGGAGGAUUUUAUGCAGAAUGC
rnacentral:piRNA from 1 species